rnacentral:lncRNA from 1 species
ACUUUCUACUCCUCGCUGGCGGAUCUCAGACCAUAUGCUGCUAUAUUCAAGGCUUUUCAUUACCAUUGUUUGUGCUCGAUGUAACAGUUUUUCUUGGUUUUACAGGAGGGGACUCUAAGACACUGAUGUUUGUACAAAUUAGUCCUAAUGAAGCUGAUUUAAGUGAGACUCUUUGUUCAUUGAAUUUCGCAAGUCGAGUGCGAGGAGUUGAGCUGGGCCCUGCAAGAAAGCAUUUAGACUCAAAUGAGCUAUUUAAAUACAAGCAACUGGUUAGCUACGCUCUAUCUUAAGACUGAUUCCCAGAUCUACUUCAAUUUCUUGUUACAUUUCAUGAAUUGACUCGCAGUUAAGUCCUACGUAGGACUUACAAUCGAGACUUCUGAGUUCUGCAGGCUGAGAAGAGCAAGCAAGAGAGUAGAUUGAAGGAUGAGUUAAUCAGAAAACUCGAGGAAAAACUGCAAACUACUGAUACGAAGUUGAAGGCGAAAGACCAGAUGUGCCAAGCUCUCUCUGAGAAGGCAUGUCACUGUGAACUAUCUCACAUACUUCUGUAGAUAUCUCGUUCUCCUUCGCUAUCUGACUUCUUCCCUAGAUUAUAAGCUGAUCAACUCUUUUUUAUUUUUUAUCAGCUGAAAGAGAUGGGAGAUCUCGAUGCGCAGCUCUUGAACGAGAGACGUGCGCGCCUAGUAGCUGAUGCUUCAUGUCGUGAUCAGAAGGCAACGAUGGAAAAGUUGGUAGUCGAGUCGAAACUAUCUCUGGAUAAACUUGCUGAGAAAUUAGCAUCUGAAUCGAGACACGCUAAAGAUGCAUCGGCAGCUGAAGCAAGGCAAGCAAGAGAGGCUCUUGAGUUAGUACAAUCUAAAGAAGCACUCGAAAUGGAAUUGAAGGAAGUCAAGGAAGCUCUUCACUCUGCAUCAGCUACACAUGCGAAGGAGGUCUCUAGAUUAAUGCAACAACUAAAAGCAAAUGCGAUUUGUACCACACCAAUGCAGGAAUCAACCAGAGUAAAUGUAAGUUCUCAUCUGCGUUUUUAAAAACAAAUUGAUUACUCUUCAAAAGUUAUCGUUCAUAAUUUUUGUCCUCUAAUGGCUCUUUUGUAACUACCUCAGGGCCUUCAAACACAAGUCGAGGCCUUACUCCGAAGACCCGCACUAGUCGAGGCC